rnacentral:rRNA from 1 species
UACGUAGGGUGCAAGCGUUAAUCGGAAUUACUGGGCGUAAAGCGUGCGCAGGCGGCUUUGCAAGACAGAUGUGAAAUCCCCGGGCUUAACCUGGGAACUGCAUUUGUGACUACAUGGCUGGAGUGCGGCAGAGGGGGAUGGAAUUCCGCGUGUAGCAGUGAAAUGCGUAGAUAUGCGGAGGAACACCGAUGGCGAAGGCGGCAUCCUGGACCGACACUGACGCUGAGGAGCGAAAGCCAGGGGAGCAAACGGG